CGCGUAGGCGGCUUUGCGUGUCUUCCGUGAAAUCCCUCGGCUCAACUGAGGACGUGCGGAAGAAACUGCGAGGCUCGAGUCCGGGAGAGGAGGGUGGAAUUCCCAGUGUAGCGGUGAAAUGCGUAGAUAUUGGGAGGAACACCGGUGGCGAAGGCGGCCCUCUGGACCGGUACUGACGCUGAUGCGCGAAAGCGUGGGAGCAAACG
rnacentral:rRNA from 1 species